GCCUUCUUAGCUCAGUGGUAGAGCGUUGGUCUCGUAAAAGAGUAAAAUAUAGAAAACCAAAGGUCGAGAGAUCAAUCCUCUCAGAAGGCA
rnacentral:tRNA from 1 species